GCCUGGGCAGCUCAGUAGAUUGAGCGUCUGACUUCGGCUCAGUUCACGAUCUCAGUUUGUGGGUUCGAGCCCUGCGUCAGGCU
rnacentral:tRNA from 1 species